CCUGGUUGAUCUUGCCAGUAGUCAUAUGCUUGUCUCACAGAUUAAGCCAUGCAAGUGAAAGUACAUAUGUAAAUAAUAUAUUGAAACUGCGAACGGCUCAUUAAAACAGUUAUAAUCUACUUGAUGUUUUUAAUAUAAGGAUAACUACGGAAAAUCUGUAGCUAAUACUUGUGAAAAUACCUUUUGAUAUAUACAUAUGUAUGUAUCAUUAAGGUAUGUAUUUGUUAGAUAUAAGAAUAAAAUAAAUAUAAUUGAAUUAUAACAAAGAAGAAACACAUAAAAUAUGUGUAUUAUCAAUCGAGUAUCUGACCUAUCAGCUUUUGAUGUUAGGGUAUUGACCUAACAUGGCUAUGACGGGUAACGGGGAAUUAGAGUUCGAUUCCGGAGAGGGAGCCUGAGAAAUAGCUACCACAUCUAAGGAAGGCAGCAGGCGCGUAAAUUACCCAAUUCUAAAAAAGAGAGGUAGUGACAAGAAAUAACAUACAAUAUCGAAAAAUGAUUUUGUAAUUGGAAUGAUAGGAAUUUACAAGGUUCCUAGAGAAACAAUUGGAGGGCAAGUCUGGUGCCAGCAGCGCGGUAAUUCCAGCUCCAAUAGCAUAUAUUAAAAUUGUUGCAGUUAAAACGUUCGUAGUUGAAUAUUAAAGAAUCCGAUGUUUCAUUUAAACUGGUUUGGGAAAACCAAAUAUAUUAUAUAUUUUGCUUUGUUCAAAAUAAGGUUUUCUAAUAAAUUAUGUUUUUAUCAGAUAUGACAGAAUCUUUUUUAAAAUCUCUUCAAUAUGCUUUUAUUGCUUUUGAGAGGUUUUGUUACUUUGAGUAAAAUUAAGUGUUCAUAACAGACGGGUAGUCAUGAUUGAGUUCAUUGUGUUUGAAUACUACAGCAUGGAAUAACAAAUAUGAAUAAGCUAAUUAUUUUUUUUUUUCAUAAUUUUUUUUGAUAUUCUUAUUAGCUUAGUUACGAUUAAUAGGAGUAGCUUUGGGGGCAUUCGUAUUCAGAUGUCAGAGGUGAAAUUCUAAGAUUUUCUGGAGACGAACAACUGCGAAAGCAUUUGCCUAAUAUAUUUCCAUUAAUCAAGAACGAAAGUUAAGGGAGUGAAGACGAUCAGAUACCGUCGUAAUCUUAACCAUAAACUAUACCGACUAGGUGUUGGAUGAAUAUAAAAAAUAUAUAAAUAUGUAGCAUUUCUUAGGGAAUGUUGAUUUUAUAUUAGAAUUGCUUCCUUCAGUACCUUAUGAGAAAUCAAAGUCUUUGGGUUCUGGGGCGAGUAUUCGCGCAAGCGAGAAAGUUAAAAGAAUUGACGGAAGGGCACCACCAGGCGUGGAGCUUGCGGCUUAAUUUGACUCAACACGGGAAAACUCACUAGUUUAAGACAAGAGUAGGAUUGACAGAUUAAUAGCUCUUUCUUGAUUUCUUGGAUGGUGAUGCAUGGCCGUUUUUAGUUCGUGAAUAUGAUUUGUCUGGUUAAUUCCGAUAACGAACGAGAUCUUAACCUGCUAAUUAGCGGAAAGUACACUAUAUUAUUAUUUGAAAUUGAAAAUAGGUAAAUAUACAUAUUAAUUAAGUAAUCAAAUUAGGAUAUUUUUAAAUUAAAAUAUACUUUUCCCUGUUAUACUAAAAUAAUUUGUUUUUUAAAACUCUAUUUCUCUCUUCUUUUAAGAAUGUACUUGAUUGAUUAAAAAAAGCUUCUUAGAGGAACAAUGUGUAUCUAACACAAGGAAGUUUAAGGCAACAACAGGUCUGUGA
rnacentral:rRNA from 1 species